rnacentral:rRNA from 1 species
UGGGGAAUUUUGGACAAUGGGCGCAAGCCUGAUCCAGCCAUGCCGCGUGCGGGAAGAAGGCCUUCGGGUUGUAAACCGCUUUUGUCAGGGAAGAAAUCCUUUGAGCUAAUACCUCGGGGGGAUGACGGUACCUGAAGAAUAAGCACCGGCUAACUACGUGCCAGCAGCCGCGGUAUACGUAGGGUGCAAGCGUUAAUCGGAAUUACUGGGCGCAAAGCGCACGUAGGCGGCUUGACAAGUCGGAUGUGAAAUCCCUCGGCUCAACCAAGGAAGUGCAUCCGAAACUGUCGAGCUUGAGUACGAAAGAGGAUCGCGGAAUUCCCGGUGUAGAGGUGAAAUGCGUAGAUAUGCGGAGGAACACCGAUGGCGAAGGCAAUCCCCUGGACCUGUACUGACGCUCAUGCACGAAAGCGUGGGGAGCAAACA